GACGAACGCUGGCGGCGUGCUUAACACAUGCAAGUCGAACGGAAAGGCCCUGCUUUUGUGGGGUGCUCGAGUGGCGAACGGGUGAGUAACACGUGAGUAACCUGCCCUUGACUUUGGGAUAACUUCAGGAAACUGGGGCUAAUACCGGAUAGGAGCUCCUGCUGCAUGGUGGGGGUUGGAAAGUUUCGGCGGUUGGGGAUGGACUCGCGGCUUAUCAGCUUGAUGGUGGGGUAGUGGCUUACCAAGGCUUUGACGGGUAGCCGGCCUGAGAGGGUGACCGGCCACAUUGGUACUGAGAUACGGCCCAGACUCCUACGGGAGGCAGCAGUGGGGAAUAUUGCACAAUGGGCGGAAGCCUGAUGCAGCAACGCCGCGUGCGGGAUGACGGCCUUCGGGUUGUAAACCGCUUUCGCCUGUGACGAAGCGUGAGUGACGGUAAUGGGUAAAGAAGCACCGGCUAACUACGUG
rnacentral:rRNA from 1 species